rnacentral:rRNA from 1 species
GGGGGCAACCCCUUGAGAGUGGCGAACGGGUGAGUAAUGUAUCGGAACGUGCCCAGUCGUGGGGGAUAACGUAGUGAAAAUUACGCUAAUACCGCAUACGAUCUAUGGAUGAAAGCGGGGGAUCGCAAGACCUCGCGCGAUUGGAGCGGCCGAUAUCAGAUUAGGUAGUUGGUGGGGUAAAGGCUCACCAAGCCAACGAUCUGUAGCUGGUCUGAGAGGACGACCAGCCACACUGGAACUGAGACACGGUCCAGACUCCUACGGGAGGCAGCAGUGGGGAAUUUUGGACAAUGGACGCAAGUCUGAUCCAGCCAUUCCGCGUGCAGGACGAAGGCCUUCGGAUUGUAAACUGCUUUUGUACGGAACGAAAAAGCUCUUAUUAAUACUAGGAGUCCAUGACGGUACCGUAAGAAUAAGCACCGGCUAACUACGUGCCAGCAGCCGCGGUAAUACGUAGGGUGCAAGCGUUAAUCGGAAUUACUGGGCGUAAAGCGUGCGCAGGCGGUUAUAUAAGACAGAUGUGAAAUCCCCGAGCUUAACUUGGGAACUGCAUUUGUGACUGUAUAGCUAGAGUACGGCAGAGGGGGAUGGAAUUCCGCGUGUAGCAGUGAAAUGCGUAGAUAUGCGGAGGAACACCGAUGGCGAAGGCAAUCCCCUGGGCCUGUACUGACGCUCAUGCACGAAAGCGUGGGGAGCAAACAGGAUUAGAUACCCUGGUAGUCCACGCCCUANACGAUGUCAACUGGUUGUUGGGUCUUCACUGACUCAGUAACGAAGCUAACGCGUGAAGUUGACCGCCUGGGGAGUACGGCCGCAAGGUUGAAACUCAGAAGAAUUGACGGGGACCCGCACAAGCGGUGGAUGAUGUGGUUUAAUUCGAUGCAACGGCGAAAACCUUACCCACCUUUGACA